ACUACUUGGAUAACCGUGGUAAUUCUAGAGCUAAUACAUGCGAAAAACCGCGACUUCGGAAGCGGUGUAUUUAUUAGAUUAAAGACCAAUGCCCUUCGGGGCUGACUGGUGAUUCAUGAUAACUUCACGAAUCGCACGGCCUUGCGCCGGCGAUGGCUCAUUCAAAUUUCUGCCCUAUCAACUUUCGACUUUAGUGUAGUGGACUAAAGUGGUUGCAACGGGUAACGGAGGGUUAGGGCUCGACCCCGGAGAAGGAGCCUGAGAGACGGCUACUACAUCCAAGGAAGGCAGCAGGCGCGCAAAUUACCCAAUCCCGACUCGGGGAGGUAGUGACAAUAAAUACUGAUACAGGGCUCUUUUGGGUCUUGUAAUUGGAAUGAGUACAAUUUAAAUCUCUUAACGAGGAACAAUUGGAGGGCAAGUCUGGUGGACAAAUCCAGUCCCGUGCUGGCGCCAGCAAGAGCGGGGGGCCCCUGCGGGCCUUCUUUCCCGCUAGUCGAGCACCCGUUCCAUGACGGGAGGGUGCCGGCGAGACAACCUGGAUCGGGGGAGGCUAAGAGGCGCCGCCAGGCGUCUUACGUUGAUCCCGAGCAGAGCACCCGAGGAGCGAUCUUCGGGCUGCCUGUGUAGAGCGCGCAAAGGUGUCGGUCGCUCUCCCCCCCCCCCGGGGGGAGGCGGCUUAAGGGACGUGCCAUCCGCCUCGAAAGAGGAUUUCCUAUCUCCAGCGCCCGUCACGCUAAGGAUAGGAAGCUGCCGGCUUGCACCGGCAGUGGGAGAUCAAUACGGCCAGCAGCCGCGGUAAUUCCAGCUCCAAUAGCGUAUAUUAAAGUUGUUGUGGUUAAAAAGCUCGUAGUUGAACCUGGGCCUCGCGCAGACCGGUCCGCCUCACCGCGUGCACUGGUCCUGCCGGGGCUUUCACUAGGGGAUUCGCAUGUCCUUCACUGGGCGUGUGCGGAACCUGGACUUUUACUGUGAAAAAAUUAGAGUGUUCAAAGCAGGCCUAUGCUCGAAUACAUUAGCAUGGAAUAAUAGAAUAGGACGUGUGGUUCUAUUUUGUUGGUUAUGGGACCGCCGUAAUGAUUAAUAGGGACAGUCGGGGGCAUCAGUAUUCAAUAGUCAGAGGUGAAAUUCUUGGAUUUAUUGAAGACUAACUACUGCGAAAGCAUUUGCCAAGGAUGUUUUCAUUAAUCAGGAACGAAAGUUAGGGGAUCGAAGACGAUCAGAUACCGUCGUAGUCUUAACCAUAAACUAUGCCGACUAGGGAUCGGGCGAUGUUACUUUUUGACUCGCUCGGCACCUUACGAGAAAUCAAAGUC
rnacentral:rRNA from 1 species